ACACGCCACAAAUAGAGAAGCCUGUGCACUGCAACUAGAGAGCCCUGCGUGCCUCAGUGAAAACCCAGGGCGGCCAAAAGGAAAAAACAAAGCCUCCUGCUACCGCGGAGGAGAUCGUCGGAGGCAGGAAGGAGCAGCGGGGGACCAGUCAGUCCAGAUGAGGCCUGGCCGGAGCCACCAGUUGGCGGGGAGAGUGUCUGAGAUGAUCUGGGGGGCUCACAGCACGGCUGGUGGGCGCAUGAGAGGGGUCAGAGGUGACUUGGGGUGGCUGGGGUCUGCUUGCCAAGGCCAGUCUCAGGGCGGCUUUCCCUCUGGGUCCUUGUUUUUGACAGUUUAGAAGAGGGUCCCUGGUACAUCUGGGCCCUUCCUCAGCCCUUGGGCUCAGCCUGUCCUCGGAGCUGGUUCCUUCUGGCCUGGAGCCCACGUGGUGGGGAGGUUGUCCUCGUUGGGGAGAUGGCCGAGACUGGCGAAACCAGUGUGCACGGUGACCCAGCCUCCGGCAAUGCCUCCCUCCCACCGGUCCCCUUCUGAAGGGGCCACCCAUCUUCAUCCUCUUGCCAGGGUGUUACAGGGGUUUUCUGGGGUUUUUGGACCAGUGAGGAAAGCGAUGCUGGAGAGAGGGUCAGUGCUGGGAGCCGCUUCUCCAGUCCCCUGACGGGAACAGCAGGCUGGGUGGGCUGCGUGGGUGUCUGGUGUUGCGGGUCCACUGUGAAGGGGUCUCUGGGACACCCCCAGGCUCCCACUGGAGCCCCACCCGGCGUCCUGCUCUCUCUGGGUGAUUGACCUUCCCGGGGGCCCGAGCCUUGGCACAAAGUGCCCCAGGCCCCCGCCAGCAGAUGGCGCAGCUGCAGUAACCCAGCUGGCCGUGCCCCUUUCUCAGGAGACACCGGGGGUGGGGCUCCCGCGGCCCCCGCACCCUGGACACCUCCUGGACCUGCUCUUGAACCUGGCUGUGUGGUCACAGCAGCGGACGACAGCCUAAAGAUUGCCCGUAAAUAUACGUUGCCCUGAGGGCUGUUUUGGCCAUUAGAAGAAGGACACCAAGUCAAAGGUCUGUCCGAGUGUGUCCUUGGGGCGUUGUGGGGUGUGCAUGGGGGCUGCCUACACCCUGUUAACCCUCUGCCCCCUUUCCUCUCUCUCUCUACCCCAAGCCUUUCUGCUCUCGAGCGUCCUUGGAGCCGUCAGCAGCGGUGUCCCCCCUCUGAAGCCCCGACACGACUGUGUGGUACCCCUGAACCUCCAUAAUGCCACCUCCUUGAUUUGAAACCUCAGUGCUUCAGCCCCUCCUUGAUGGGAGUCUAAGCUCGCCCUCUGAAGGAAAGGUUUGCUAAGAAAACAGAAUUUUAUGCACAGUCUCGGGAGGUAAGGCGUGGUCUUCACCCUCCACCAGAACCUGCCUGUUCUUAAGGGUUUCCAUGUUGCAUGAUCUGCAGGUUAGAGUUGGGUCACGUCUAGCUUUGAAUAAAGGCCCAGCAAGUUGCCUCUUAGAAAUACCUUGUCACAGCUGACCUUAGGUUCACUAUGGGACUUCUUUAAGAUGGUCUGAUUAAUUCAUGGUGGCCACCCCACGGCCCGUAGCCACCUGAGACAAGAGGAUUUACUGUACCAGUUUAUUGCCAGGCCGUAUCAGCUGAUAAGCAGGAAACUAUAGACCAUCUGUUUAAAAAUAAAAAUAAAAUAAAAAAUUAACAGCGGCACAGCCCUAGAGCAAACACUUUGUACUGCUGCAUAGUAAACGAGCCUGUUGGAUGUAGUGACCUUGGCUGAGGUAGCCACGGGCUUGUCCCUCCGUCCCUGUGUGUCCGGGGCGCUGGGCUGCUCAGAUCUGUGGCCUUCUGGCCCCCAAGCAACACCCUGGAGGGCAGAGCUCCCCGCCCCACAGAGCCCCGGGCAUCACUCCCGUCCUGGCCGCACCAGGCUCCCCCCUCCAGCUCUGGCCACAUUUGCGGGUCUCUAACUCUCUUUAGGCCACAGCGACUGUCCCCAGGCAGGAUGUCCAGCCCCAUCAGCCGAGAGCCCCCACGUUCAGUCGCGUGGACCCAUCGUGGAGGCCGGCCUGUGGGGUGGGCGGGACACGGGAGCGUGGGCCAAGGAGGGCUUCCUGGGGCCGCGAAGGACGGGCCUUUUGCUUGGCUUCGCGGUGAGCUGCCAGCCCCGUUUUGAUUUGCAGCUUUUGUUCGGUACUGCGCGGGGUCUCCUUCGCCUUGGCACUGGCUGGGCGGGGGAGGCGUCACCACGGCUCUCCUCGGGUCCGCACGCAGGACGACAUCGUUGGCGCGGCCCGCCACUCAAAUCAAGGCAGCAACAGAACCUUCCGAGAAAAGCCUUCAGAAGUGAAAUGUCGAGGCUGCCGUUAUGCGUGAGACGGUGGCAGAGCCGCGAUCCGCUUCUCUUCCUUUCCAGGGUGCCCUGAGGCUGCUGCCGAGCCCACGUUCAAAGGCUGUUUCUUCAAAGUAAACGGUGCUGCCUUCGAACUGGGAGGGGAAGCGGGCGGUUGGGAGGCAGGUUUCCACGUGCGUGUUGAACGGCUGGGGCGUGGUCUUUUGUCCAUGAUCGUGUGAGAACUUGGGGUGCGGACAGGGAGGUCCAAGUCCGUCUGGGCCCCGGUGUUGGCAGGGCUGGGAGGGGGCAUCAGGCACAGCCCUGUGGGAAGUGACCGUGAAGGACCCUUCCGGAGGGCCCCCCCCAAUCCUGUUGUGCUUGGUUCAGAGGGUUGGGCGGAGGCUUUCCUGAAGGCUCUAGGAGUGCUGCACCCACAGGCUGUGUGCUCAGGCGGCGGGACGUGGGCCCUCGGACGAGGGAAAGGCCGGCCCGGCCACGUUGUCUGCCUGCUCCCCCCAGGGAGGCCCCAAUGCGGUCAGCCGCCCCGUGGUGGCCAGUGGGCAUCGGGAUGCAAGCCCGCCUGUUUUUCCGCUGCUCCAGGCCUCUGGUGUCUCCCCACCGCCUGGAACGCAAAAGCCAUGCCAACCUUGGUCUUGAGCAUCUGCAGCUCCCCAAAGGCCCCCGAUGCUCUUCAGCCUGCACCUGGCCUGUUCCUCCCCUCCUGGGGGUCUUCCUCGCUCUCACCCUGGCUGCCCACCUGGCCUGGCCAGUCCUCCCCACCCUUGGGAAGCCCCCUGACCGUCCAGCCCUCGCUGAGCGUCACAGCCCCUCUCGUCUCGGUUCCUUUGCUGGGUGCUUGUUUGUUGCCCACGCCUUCUACUUCUUCUAGACCGAGCCCCAAGGUGACGGCCAGCUCCGCCACGCGGACUGUUACGCUCUCCAGCUUCUGUCUCCACGCGUGGCACAAAGUAGGUGCCUAAUAAAUUUGUGUAGAACGAA